CAGCAUCAGGUGGAGGAGUGGCUUUUGGUAUAAAAGGCCAGCAGGUGACAGCAGUGUCAGAGGAUCCACAUCCAGAACACAGGGGAUCGAUUGGUGUGGAUUCAGCAUUUUCAGAAGAGCUCCAGUUUUAAAAUGAAUCGGUGUCGAGGAGGAGGACGCGGCGGCCAUGGACAUGGUGGACAUGGUCAUGGACAGCGUGGAGGACACGGACAUAGAGGGCGUGGGCAUUCGCACGGCGGUUGCCAUGGAGUUCAGGGUCACUGUCACGGACCCAAGCGGAGGCGCAGGCACAGGCGUGGCCACAAACAUCGGAAAUGCCACAAGAAGGGGCGGGAUGGUCGUGGGUCUGACAGCAGCUCCUGCAGCAGCAGCAGCAGCAGCAGCAGCAGCGACUCCGACUAGACGGACAUGGAGAUCACACCAGACACCCCCCGGAGACCGUCCUCAUCAAACCUCACGAAAUAUCUAGUUUCUUUGACUGCAUCCAUAAGGACUGCUUUUGAACGCAAAAUGUAUUUUUUAAAGGUGAACAGCCAGUUUUUGUGAACAUGUGAAACAUGUCAUGAUUUCGGGCUGAGAGUUACUUUCUGAGUAAUAAAACUCAUAAUAUGAACACAAAAGUG